CCUACGGGAGGCAGCAGUAGGGAAUAUUGCUCAAUGGGGGAAACCCUGAUGCAGCAACGCCGCGUGGGGGAUGAAGGUUUUCGGUUUGUAAACUUCUUUUGGUAGAGAAGAUAAUGACGGUAUCUAACGAAUAAGCACCGGCUAACUCCGUGCCAGCAGCCGCGGUAAUACGGAGGGUGCAAGCGUUAUCCGGAUUCACUGGGCGUAAAGAGAGCGUAGGCGGGAGAGCAAGUCAGAUGUGAAAUCCUGUGGCUUAACCAUAGAACUGCAUUUGAAACUGUUAGGCUAGAGUAUAGGAGAGGUAGGUGGAAUUCGUGGUGUAGGGGUAAAAUCCGUAGAGAUUAAGAGGAAUAC
rnacentral:rRNA from 1 species